UCUCCCUGAAGGGCUCCGGGAGACUACCGGGUGGAUAGGCCGCAGGUGGAAGCUCCGCGAGGGGUGAAGCCGAGCGGUACUAAUAGCCCGUUCGGCUUGUCCAC
rnacentral:rRNA from 1 species